AUUCCGGCUCGAAGGACUUCGUGC
rnacentral:piRNA from 1 species